GUGGAUGCCCUGGCAGUCAGAGGCGAUGAAGGACGUGCUAAUCUGCGAUAAGCGUCGGUGAGGUGAUAUGAACCGUUAUAACCGGCGAUUUCCGAAUGGGGAAACCCAGUGUGUUUCGACACACUAUCAUUAACUGAAUCCAUAGGUUAAUGAGGCGAACCGGGGGAACUGAAACAUCUAAGUACCCCGAGGAAAAGAAAUCAACCGAGAUUCCCCCAGUAGCGGCGAGCGAACGGGGAGGAGCCCAGAGCCUGAAUCAGUGUGUGUGUUAGUGGAAGCGUCUGGAAAGGCGCGCGAUACAGGGUGACAGCCCCGUACACAAAAAUGCACAUAUUGUGAGCUCGAUGAGUAGGGCGGGACACGUGGUAUCCUGUCUGAAUAUGGGGGGACCAUCCUCCAAGGCUAAAUACUCCUGACUGACCGAUAGUGAACCAGUACCGUGAGGGAAAGGCGAAAAGAACCCCGGCGAGGGGAGUGAAAAAGAACCUGAAACCGUGUACGUACAAGCAGUGGGAGCCUCUUAAUGGGGUGACUGCGUACCUUUUGUAUAAUGGGUCAGCGACUUAUAUUCUGUAGCAAGGUUAACCGAAUAGGGGAGCCGAAGGGAAACCGAGUCUUAACUGGGCGUUAAGUUGCAGGGUAUAGACCCGAAACCCGGUGAUCUAGCCAUGGGCAGGUUGAAGGUUGGGUAACACUAACUGGAGGACCGAACCGACUAAUGUUGAAAAAUUAGCGGAUGACUUGUGGCUGGGGGUGAAAGGCCAAUCAAACCGGGAGAUAGCUGGUUCUCCCCGAAAGCUAUUUAGGUAGCGCCUCGUGAAUUCAUCUCCGGGGGUAGAGCACUGUUUCGGCAAGGGGGUCAUCCCGACUUACCAACCCGAUGCAAACUGCGAAUACCGGAGAAUGUUAUCACGGGAGACACACGGCGGGUGCUAACGUCCGUCGUGAAGAGGGAAACAACCCAGACCGCCAGCUAAGGUCCCAAAGUCAUGGUUAAGUGGGAAACGAUGUGGGAAGGCCCAGACAGCCAGGAUGUUGGCUUAGAAGCAGCCAUCAUUUAAAGAAAGCGUAAUAGCUCACUGGUCGAGUCGGCCUGCGCGGAAGAUGUAACGGGGCUAAACCAUGCACCGAAGCUGCGGCAGCGACACUAUGUGUUGUUGGGUAGGGGAGCG
rnacentral:rRNA from 1 species